CACUGAUGGUUGCUGUUCUCUUUAAAAGUAAAAGCAAGCAUAAGGUUUAAUCUCAAUAACUGUGUGCUGUCUCUGAAAUUGUGUCCUGACCAUACUGCUGUAAGAAUGUUAGACUCUUAACAAACCAGAUAAAGGUGUGGUCUUGGAGGAGGAACAACUAGAAAUGAAGAUGUGCUGAGCUUAGACGUAAUGAUUAGUACAGGUUCAGUUUGACAUAUCUUUUUCAUAAAGAAGUGGUCAUAGCACAAAUGUAAGUCUUAAAUAAAAUUUAGACAUGACCAAAAACUGGAAGAAUGCUGUUUGCUGCUCAGGCACUGUCUUUGUUUUUGAUAUCUUCAGCCCCUGCUACAUAAACUCCCAGCUGUUCCUAACAGUUUCAUUGCUUUUUAUGGAAUGCAGCUGUGAGGUAGUGACUUCUUUUUUAAUUAGUGCUGUAACCAUCCAUUAUGCAAGUCUUAAGGAGUGUUUCUACUUGGAUGUUUUCCUAUUUGGAUGAUCCUGUGCAAGUUUUGAUAAACUUUGAAAAAGCGUUGGAGUAAGAAAAGACAGUUUUAUGUUGUGACUGCUUUGAGUGUUGCUGUCUUUUAUGUUUUGGGCUGUAAUGCCUCUCUGUUUUUCCUAAAUAGGGAUUAAAAUUAGAAAAUAGUAGCUCUGCAGUGCCUCAGAAACUUUCAGUGGUAAUCUGAAUUAAGUGGGAUGUGCAGGAUCCCAGUUUUUCUGAGUUCCUUCUGGUGUUAAUUUUUCUAUAAUACUGGUGAAGUGCUGGGUACAUAAUAUUUUCAUUAUCUGUUAUCCAGCUUUUUGCUUGUGAUGUGAAGAUACUAGGUGCAAGGGAAACGUGUACCUUCAUAUGAGGGCACGGAGUAUCUCAGCUGCACUUCAUUAAAUAAGAUGAGUGGAUUGGAGUAGCACCUGAGACUCUCAGGUGCUUUUGUUUGGGUUAAUUUUUUUUUCACAGUACUGGUAUGGGGCUGUUUUGAAUUUGUGCUGGAGACAGUGUUGAUAACACAAGGAUAUUUUCCUUACUGCUGAGCAGGGCUUGCACAGAUUCAAGGCUUUUUCUGCCUCCCUCCCCAACAGUGAAGAGACUGGGGGUGCACAAGGAGCUGGGAGGGGACACAGCUGGGACAGCCAGCCCCAGCUGACCCAACGUGUAUCCUGCAACAUAUGGAGUCAUGCUCAGCAUGUAAAAUGGGAAGAAGGAAGGAAGGAAGGGUGUUUGGAGUGAUGGAGUUGACUUCCCAAGUUACAGUUAUGUGUGAUGGUGCCCGGAUUUCCUGGAGAUGGCUGAACACCAGCCUGCCCCUGGGAAGUGGUGAAUGAAUUCCUUGUUUUGCUUUGCUUGUGUGUGCAACUUUUGCUUUGCUUAUUAAAUUGUGUUUAUCUCAACCCACAAGUGUUCUUACUUUCACUCUUUCAAUUUUCUCCUCCAUCCCACCUGGGGUGAGUGAAGGAGCAGCCACUGAGUGGUGAUUAGUUACCAGCUGGGGUUAAACCACAACAGACUAACAGCCAGAAACAGAGGAGGUAGGACAGAAGUUACCUGAGAGGAAGCAACUGCUGUCUUCAGACUGUUGUGAAAAUUUUUGGAACAUUUUGAAGAAGUAUUCCUUCUGAUUUGCCCUGCUUUGGAUAGUUGGAGUCAGAAAGCUUUUAAAGGCAAAUGACAAGAACAAAAGGAAAAGAAUUUCUUGCUGACCUCUUACAGAGACUGUUGAACUAAAAACAUGGACAGAGUCUAUGGUGUCAGCUCUGUAACCAGGGCGUCUGCAAACAGAAGUGAUCUGACAGCUCUGCUAUUUUUAGCUCCAAACAAGAUGAAGAUCCCCUCUUUGCUGCUGAGAUUCCCUCGUUGUUAUUUCUCCAGAAGAACUUACUUCAUGAACUUUCGCUUCGCUUCCCGAGCAGGUUUCCUGGGCAUCGAGUCUCUUGGGCCAGCACACGGCUGCCAUACAAAAUGGAUUUGUUCAUCAAAUGCUUGGAGGAGAGAGCUGUGCCAGCAAGCAGCCCCUGAGCAGCAAGCAGAGGGACUUUCCGACAGGGAGCAGAGGCUUGUAGACAGACUUUACCAGGGGCUAAUCCAGGGCCACAGAGCCUGCUUAGCCGAAGCCAUUACACUCAUAGAAUCAACUCAGAGUAGGAAGAAGAAAGUAGCCCAGGUGCUCCUUCAGAAGGUAUUAUCCUACCACAGGGAACAAGAAAAGUUAAAUCAAGGAAAGCCACUUGCCUUUAGAGUGGGGUUGUCUGGUCCUCCUGGUGCUGGAAAGUCGACCUUCAUAGAAUGCUUUGGGAAGAUGCUUACGGAAAGAAACCACAAAGUGUCUGUGCUGGCUGUAGACCCUUCCUCUAGUACAAGUGGUGGUUCCCUGCUGGGUGAUAAAACACGGAUGACUGAGUUGUCAAGAGACAUGAAUGCAUACAUCAGACCAUCUCCAACCAGUGGGACACUGGGAGGUGUCACAAGGACCACAAAUGAGGCCAUUCUGCUCUGUGAAGGAGGAGGCUACGAUGUUGUUCUUGUGGAAACAGUAGGUGUGGGCCAGUCAGAAUUUGCUGUGGCUGAUAUGGUUGAUAUGUUUAUAUUACUGCUACCACCUGCGGGUGGGGAUGAAUUACAGGGCAUCAAGCGGGGCAUCAUUGAGAUGGCAGACCUGGUUGCUAUCAAUAAGGCUGAUGGUGACUUAGUUGUGCCCGCCCGGAGGAUCCAGGCUGAGUACAUCAGUGCCAUGAAGCUGCUUCGCAGGCGGUCAAAGGUUUGGAGGCCAAAGGAAAAGGAGCUAAGCUGGUUCCCAGACUGUGAUGUCAGAGCCUCCUCUCAUGGAAGGAGAAAGACUUCAGCCAUCGCAGAAAAGAGUCUUCAGAAAGUCCCUUUCAGAAAGCUUGUGAUGGGUUGAUUUCAGAGACGUGGCAGUCUUACAUUGGAAGCAAGAUCAUUGAUUUGAGAUUGCUGUGACACUGCAGCUUGUUACAACAAGCAGUCUGCCCUCUGCAAGAGCAGAGCAAGAGGAGAGCAGGUCUGUGCACUUCUGCUGGGGUGGAAGUUCUCUGGCUUUCAGUGUUUGCACAGUGAAUUCAAUGUCAACAUACGUACAGACAGCAGAUCUCAGAGGAGUCAGAGGCACAUUCCCAGAAGAGCAACAAUCCAAAGUUUACACUUCCAGUGAAAUGCUGUCUGAGAAGUGGUGGAAAAAGAAAG